GGGGAGCUAAGGGUUUUGGCCAGAAGCUAUGGAAGCAGCAAAACGCAAGCGAAACUCUGCCGAGUACGAAGAAGAUGAGUACGACACAUUCAAACCACCGCCGCCGCCGUCCUCAGCCGCCGCAAACGGAGGGAUCGACCUUUCACUGCUCGAAGCCUUAGAAAAAUCUCAACAAAACCCUGUGGAAGUUCUCGAUAUCAAAACAGUGAAAAAUCUCAACAAAACCCUGUGGAAGUUCUCGAUAUCAAAACAGUGAAAAAACUCGUCCUUGCAUUCGAACGCCGUCUUAAGGAGAACAUUGCUGCACGUCUCAAGUACCCGGACCAACCAGAAAAGUUCGCGGAUUCCGAAGUCGAGCUCCAUGAAGAAAUCGAAAAGCUCAAAAUACUCGCCGGAGGCCCCGAAUUUUACCCGGAACUCGUGAAUCUCGGGACCAUUGCGUCUAUCACCAGCCUCCUCAAUCACGAAAACACUGACAUCGCUAUUGACGUUGUCGGCUUAUUACAAGACCUGACCGACGAGGAUGUUCUCGAGGACAACGACGAGCCGGCGCAAAUUUUAGUUGAUUCAUUGGUUGAGAACAAUGCGUUAGAAUUGCUCGUUCAGCUUCUAGGUAAAAUGUCUGACUCCGAUCCGGACGAGUCCGCUGCCAUAUAUAGUAUACUCGCGACUGUUGAGAAUUUUAUUGAAGUGAAACCCUCGGUGGCGGAACUUGUAUGUGAAAGGACUAAGUUAAUGAAGUGGUUGCUGACAAGAAUAAAGGUAAGAGAAUUUGAUGGAAACAAGCAGUAUGCAUCGGAGAUUUUGGCUAUUUUGCUGCAGAGCAGCACGGCCAAUCAGAAGAGAUUAGGGCAAUUGAACGGUGUGGACGCAUUGUUACAAGCUGUAGCAAUGUAUAAAUCGAAGGACCCUAAGACUCCAGAUGAGGAAGAGAUGGUUGAGAACUUGUUUGACGCCUUGUGUUGUUUGUUAAUGCCUUUGGAGAAUAAAGAGAAGUUUGUGAAAUCUGAAGGUGUGGAAUUGAUGAUCAUUAUUAUGAAUCAGAAGAAAAUGUGCUAUGGAUCAGCUAUAAGGGCGUUGGAUUUUGCAAUGACUAAUUAUCCUCCAGCAUGUGAGAGGUUUGUGGAUGUAAUGGGGUUAAAGACUGCAUUUCCUGCUUUUAUGGGUAAGCUGCCUCUGAGCAAAAAGAACAAGAAACGCUACAAAGAAGAAUUGGAAGAGCGUCUUGUAUCACUUGUGGCUUCCUUAUUUGGAGGAAUCUUAAGAGGUUCUAGAAGGGAUAGAUUGUUAAGUAAGUUCGUGGAGAAUGAGUGCGAAAAAAUUGACAGGCUUAUGGAGCUCUACAUGAGAUAUUCCGAUAGAGUAAAACUUGAGUCUGAACGGUUUGACCAGCUUGAACUUGAUGAUUUGGAGAUGGAUGAAGACGAGAAAUACAAUAGAAAGUUAGAAGCUGGUCUUUAUACCCUUCAGUUGAUAGCUGUUAUUCUGGGUCAUCUUUGGACAUCUGAACAUCCUCGUAUCAGAGCAAGGAUUGACCUUUUGCUAAAGCAACAAAAGCUGACUAAGCAAGAUGUAAAAGAUAUACUCCAGGAAUAUCAUGACAACAUCGGGGAUCUGGAAGGGCCAGAAGAGAAGGAGAGGGGACAAUCAAAGAUUCAAAGGUUCAUAUCGUCCUUUUGACCAUAAUACAGUUGAAAAAGCACACGUUAUAUCAUUGGAAUGAUGUGUAAACUCUGGCUAUUUUAAAAGUAUUAAGAUGAUGUCCUCAGUUAGUCAUGUCACUUUAUUCUUUGAUGUAAUGUGUAAGAGCAUAGCUACCACCUGUUAUUGAGGGUUGACAGUUUUGACUGAAGAUCUGUUAGUACUGAAUGCGAUUCAGUGUAAUUUGUAACACUUCAAUUAGUAGUUUUACCCAGUGUAAGUUCAGUGCUUUGUGGAGCAUGUUAUGUGAGCUUUCA
rnacentral:misc_RNA from 1 species